UACGUAGGGUGCGAGCGUUGUCCGGAAUUAUUGGGCGUAAAGAGCUUGUAGGCGGUCUGUCGCGUCUGCUGUGAAAAUCCGGGGCUCAACCCCGGACUUGCAGUGGGUACGGGCAGACUAGAGUGUGGUAGGGGAGACUGGAAUUCCUGGUGUAGCGGUGAAAUGCGCAGAUAUCAGGAGGAACACCGAUGGCGAAGGCGGGUCUCUGGGCAGUAACUGACGCUGAGGAGCGAAAGCGUGGGGAGCGAACAGG
rnacentral:rRNA from 1 species